rnacentral:rRNA from 1 species
GACGAACGCUGGCGGCGUGCCUAAUACAUGCAAGUCGAGCGCAGGAAACUGACGGAACUCUUCGGAGGGAAGGCAGUGGAAUGAGCGGCGGACGGGUGAGUAACACGUAAGGAACCUGCCUCAAGGAUUGGGAUAACUCCGAGAAAUCGGAGCUAAUACCGGAUAGUUCAUCGGACCGCAUGGUCCGUUGAUGAAAGGCGCUUCGGCGUCACCUCGAGAUGGCCUUGCGGUGCAUUAGCUAGUUGGUGGGGUAACGGCCCACCAAGGCGACGAGGCAUAGCCGACCUGGGAGGGUGAUCGGCCACACUGGGACUGAGACACGGCCCAGACUCCUACGGGAGGCAGCAGUAGGGAAUCUUCCACAAUGGACGAAAGUCUGAUGGAGCAACGCCGCGUGAGUGAUGAAGGUUUUCGGAUCGUAAAACUCUGUUGUAAGGGAAGAACACGUACGAGAGGAAAUGCUCGUACCUUGACGGUACCUUACGAGAAAGCCACGGCUAACUACGUGCCAGCCGCCGCGGUAAAAC